ACGUAGCGGGCGCAGGCCCCGCCCCUCUGGUGGAUUUCCGGCCGGGGCGGUGCCUAUCGCGGAAGCGGAAGGUGGGGAAGCGAAGACUUGCCUAGCGGGGUUUCCCCGGCGGAGGGUUGGCCUGGAGGACCCUGGAGCCGCGGCUCGAGCUGAGUGGGCAGAAGUGCAAAGGCCCUGUCUCGUCGGCGUGUGUGAGCGGGCCAUCGAGCUCGGGAGUCAGACCUCGAUUCCCACGCUACAUCGGCGUUCUCCAACCAUACUCCCGAUGGGCGGGCGACGGCGGACACCAAGGAUAAAAGACCAGACCUUUUCGGAAAAGAAACCAAAUUGUGAAGAGCUUUCCAUAGGCUAAAUUUUUUCUGCAAAAACACGGAAGGGACUUCCAUGGCCGGACUCCAACAGAAGGGCUAGCCCGGAGCGCCCGGUCUCUGGGGGCUUGUUCUGGGAACCACUGCGACGUGUACUGUGCGAUCGCGUUUAUGACAAAUAACCAUAAGGCAAACGAAUCUAAAGGAAUGGUUAUGAGUGUUUCCAGCGUACAGACAGGUCUCCUCUUGCCCAACAAUACAGCUUACACACCAGUAGCACCCGCGGUUACUUUUGUGUUUUUUUGGGAGGGGACUCUAGAAAGGUGAGAUUUUCAAGAUAUGCGCAGGAAGGAGAGGGGGAAACUUUGAAAAGGGAGAAAGGAAAAUUAUUUGGCUGGUAGUCAAUGGAAGAGGGGGAUAAAAUAAACUAGAAAACUUA